AGAGAAAGGCAAGAAAUACACUGUUUGCGAGACGGAAGUAUGCGAGGAGAGAGCAAAACUGCUCAAUGCAAGCAUCAACGAAAGUUUGGAUCCUUGCGAAGACUUCUUUGGCUUUGUUUGUGACGGCUGGAACAGAGUUCACCCUAUUCCAGACGCUGAUACAUCGUUUGGAACAAUUGAACUUGCAGCGCAAAACGUGCGCAAUGAACUAAAAGAAAUAAUUGAAAACAUAACUGACAACACUGAACCCUACAAUGUGAGAAAGAUGGCUGCAACUGUAUACAAGG
rnacentral:lncRNA from 1 species